CCGUACACAAAAAUGCACAUGCUGUGAGCUCGAUGAGUAGGGCGGGACACGUGGUAUCCUGUCUGAAUAUGGGGGGACCAUCCUCCAAGGCUAAAUACUCCUGACUGACCGAUAGUGAACCAGUACCGUGAGGGAAAGGCGAAAAGAACCCCGGCGAGGGGAGUGAAAAAGAACCUGAAACCGUGUACGUACAAGCAGUGGGAGCACGCUUAGGCGUGUGACUGCGUACCUUUUGUAUAAUGGGUCAGCGACUUAUAUUCUGUAGCAAGGUUAACCGAAUAGGGGAGCCGAAGGGAAACCGAGUCUUAACUGGGCGUUAAGUUGCAGGGUAUAGACCCGAAACCCGGUGAUCUAGCCAUGGGCAGGUUGAAGGUUGGGUAACACUAACUGGAGGACCGAACCGACUAAUGUUGAAAAAUUAGCGGAUGACUUGUGGCUGGGGGUGAAAGGCCAAUCAAACCGGGAGAUAGCUGGUUCUCCCCGAAAGCUAUUUAGGUAGCGCCUCGUGAAUUCAUCUCCGGGGGUAG
rnacentral:rRNA from 1 species